rnacentral:lncRNA from 1 species
GUCAUGAUAGUGAGUGAGUUCUCACGAGAUCUGAUGGUUUUAUAAGGGGCUUUCUGCUUUGCUUGACACUCAUUCUCUCUCCUGCCAUCCUGUGAAGAGGUGCCUUCCACUGUGCUUAUAAGUUUCCUAAGGCCUCCCACCCCCAGCCAUGUGGAACUGUCCGGUGGAGAUGGUGGUGGUGAGAUGCAGGGAGAUGGAGAGAAAAAUGGGAGCACCACCUUUCUUUACAAAGCCAAAAGCUACAUCCCCAUUGACCUAGAUGUCAUAAGAGUUUUUUUUCCCCAAAGGGCACCAUGAUGGAGAAUCGGCUUUCCCAAGGACACACAUACCUUUGUCACACCAAGCACCACCUUGUCCUCAGACUGUUCUUGUACUGGCUUUGUUUACAAGCCAGAUUUUUUUUAAAAUGAGAAAAAUCAAAUGUUCACUUAAGAAGUGAAAUUUGAAUAAAAUUACAGUUUCAGGCAAAGCCUAUAUUAUUUUUAAAAUCAGCGAAUAAAGCAAGGGAUAUUAAAUCAUGAUCUUCACCUGAA